UGUGAAUGAUGAACUAAUUCUUUGGUCCGUGUUUAUGACAGGAAGUAAGACCCCUGGAAUGAGUGAGAAAAGAAGCGUGAGUGACAUCACAUCUCUGACAAU
rnacentral:snoRNA from 1 species